UAAUACGGAGGGGGCUAGCGUUGUUCGGAAUUACUGGGCGUAAAGCGCGCGUAGGCGGCUUUGUAAGUCAGAGGUGAAAGCCUGGAGCUCAACUCCAGAACUGCCUUUGAGACUGCAUCGCUUGAAUCAUGGAGAGGUUAGUGGAAUUCCGAGUGUAGAGGUGAAAUUCGUAGAUAUUCGGAAGAACACCAGUGGCGAAGGCGACUAACUGGACAUGUAUUGACGCUGAGGUGCGAAAGCGUGGGGAGCAAACAGG
rnacentral:rRNA from 1 species